CCCUUAGAUGUCCGGGGCCGCACGCGCGCUACACUGAAGGAAUCAGCGUGGCUUUCUCCCUGACCCGAAAGGGUUGGGAAACCCGUUGAAUCUCCUUCGUGAUAGGGAUUGGGGCUUGAAAAUGUUCCCCAUGAACGAGGAAUUCCCAGUAAGCGCGAGUCAUAAGCUCGCGUUGAUUACGUCCCUGCCCUUUGUACACACCGCCCGUCGCUACUACCGAUUGAACGGUUUAGUGAGGGCCUCGGAUUGGUCUCGGCCCGCUCUUUACCGGGCGGCGCCGUUGGUCGAGAAGACGCUCGAACUUGAUCGUUUAGAGGAAGUAAAAGUCGUAACA
rnacentral:rRNA from 1 species